rnacentral:rRNA from 1 species
UGAACGCUGGCGAGAUGCUUUACACAUGCAAGUCAUACGAGAGUUUUUAACUCAAGUGGCGGACGGGUGAGUAACACGUAAGAAUUUGCCUUUAGGAGGGGGACAACAGCUGGAAACAGCUGCUAAUACCCCAUAUGCUUUUGAGUGAAAUGGAUUUUUCCGCCUAGAGAGAAGCUUGCGCCUGAUUAGCUUGUUGGUGAGGUAAUGGCUCACCAAGGCGACGAUCAGUAUCUGGUUUGAGAGGACGAUCAGACACACUGGAACUGAGACACGGUCCAGACUCCUACGGGAGGCAGCAGUGGGGAAUUUUCCGCAAUGGGCGAAAGCCUGACGGAGCAAUCUCGCGUGAGGGAUGACGGCCUAUGGGUUGUAAACCUCUUUUUUCAGGGAGGAAUCAAUGACGUGUACCUGAAGAAUAAGCAUCGGCUAACUCC